UUUGUUGUGAAAAAAGCAGAGUAAGGCCUGGUUCACAGGGUAAGAUAAUUAGGCUGAUAUCGGACCCAAUCUUCCCCUUCCGACAAUUUUAAGGAUGCCCCGACAAUCAUGAUG